rnacentral:rRNA from 1 species
GGUUCAACUGAUUUGAAGAGCUUGCUCAGAUAUGACGAUGGACAUUGCAAAGAGUGGCGAACGGGUGAGUAACACGUGGGAAACCUACCUCUUAGCAGGGGAUAACAUUUGGAAACAGAUGCUAAUACCGUAUAACAAUAGCAACCGCAUGGUUGCUACUUAAAAGAUGGUUCUGCUAUCACUAAGAGAUGGUCCCGCGGUGCAUUAGUUAGUUGGUGAGGUAAUGGCUCACCAAGACGAUGAUGCAUAGCCGAGUUGAGAGACUGAUCGGCCACAAUGGGACUGAGACACGGCCCAUACUCCUACGGGAGGCAGCAGUAGGGAAUCUUCCACAAUGGGCGAAAGCCUGAUGGAGCAACGCCGCGUGUGUGAUGAAGGGUUUCGGCUCGUAAAACACUGUUGUAAGAGAAGAAUGACAUUGAGAGUAACUGUUCAAUGUGUGACGGUAUCUUACCAGAAAGGAACGGCUAAAUACGUGCCAGCAGCCGCGGUAAUACGUAUGUUCCAAGCGUUAUCCGGAUUUAUUGGGCGUAAAGCGAGCGCAGACGGUUAUUUAAGUCUGAAGUGAAAGCCCUCAGCUCAACUGAGGAAUUGCUUUGGAAACUGGAUGACUUGAGUGCAGUAGAGGAAAGUGGAACUCCAUGUGUAGCGGUGAAAUGCGUAGAUAUAUGGAAGAACACCAGUGGCGAAGGCGGCUUUCUGGACUGUAACUGACGUUGAGGCUC